AUUGAACGCUGGCGGCAGGCUUAACACAUGCAAGUCGAGCGGGGUGAUGGUGCUUGCACUAUCACUUAGCGGCGGACGGGUGAGUAAUGCUUAGGAAUCUGCCUAUUAGUGGGGGACAACAUCUCGAAAGGGAUGCUAAUACCGCAUACGUCCUACGGGAGAAAGCGGGGGAUCACUUGUGACCUUGCGCUAAUAGACGAGCCUAAGUCGGAUUAGCUAGUUGGUGGGGUAAAGGCCUAUCAAGGCGACGAUAUGUAGCGGGUCAGAGAGGAUGAUCCGCCACACUGGGACUGCAACACGGCCCAGACUCCUACGGGAGGCAGCAGUGGGGAAUAUUGGACAAUGGGGGGAGCCCUGAUCCAGCCAUGCCGCGUGUGUGAAGAAUGCCUUAUGGUUGUAAAGCACUUUAAGCGAGGAGGAGGCUCUUUUGGUUAAUACCCAAGAUGAGUGGACGUUACUCGCAGAAUAAGCACCGGCUAACUCUGUGCCAGCCGCCGCCGUAA
rnacentral:rRNA from 1 species